AUUGAACGCUGGCGGCAUGCCUUACACAUGCAAUUCGAACGUAAAGGGGCUUUGGGUGCCCGCGAGUUGGCAACGGGGUAAUAAUUACUUCGAACCUUGCCGGUCCUGGGGGAUAACGAGGCCAAAGCUUUUCUUAUUCCCCCUUCCGUCCUCCGAUUAAAAGCAGGGGCCCCAAAGCCUUUCCCCGGCCGGGGCGGCCGAUGGCAGAUUAGUUAGUUGGUGGGAUAAAAGCUUACCAAGCCGACGAUCUGUAGCUGGUCUGAGAGGAUGAUCAGCCACACUGGGACUGAGACACGGCCCAGACUCCUACGGGAGGCAGCAGUGGGGAAUUUUGGACAAUGGGCGCAAGCCUGAUCCAGCCAUGCCGCGUGCAGGAUGAAGGCCUUCGGGUUGUAAACUGCUUUUGUACGGAACGAAAAGCCUUCUUUUAAUACAGGAGGGUCAUGACGGUACCGUAAGAAUAAGCACCGGCUAACUACGUG
rnacentral:rRNA from 1 species